rnacentral:lncRNA from 1 species
GCUCAUCGUUUGUUGUUUAGAUAAUAUCAUGAACUGAUAAAUGCAGUUGCCACGUUGAUUCCCUAGGGCCUGGCUUACCGACUGAGGUCAUAAGAUAUUAUGCCUUCUCUUUAGACUUGGUCAGUGGAGAGGAAAUGGGCAAAGAACCAGCCUAUGGAGGUGACAAGGCCUUAGGGCCAAAAGUCUUGAGGGUGAAGGUUUAGGGCCUGCGCAGCUUCCCUGCCAUGCCCCGCAAGGUCUCGCAUUCGCAAGGCUUGUGACAGUGGGAGCCUCAUUACGGACUCUCCUAAAGUCCAUGGUGUCCUCUUUUCGCAUUUGCGCCCCGUGGGUGAUGCCCGAUGCCGCCCUUCCCAUCGCUCUCUUCCCCUUCAAGCGUAUCGCAACUGCAAAAACACCCAGCACAGACACUCCAUUUUCUAUCUUAAUGCAUUUAACUAGCACAACCUACAGGUUGUUCCAUCCCAGAGACUACCCUUUUCUCCAUAGACGUGACCAUCAACCAACCAGCGGUCAGAAUCAGUCAGCCUCUGUCAUGUUCCUAGGUCCUUGGCGAACUGGCUGGGCGGGGUCCCAGCAGCCUAGGAGUACAGUGGAGCAAUGCCUGACGUAAGUCAACAAAGAUCACGUGAGACGAAUCAGUCGCCUAGAUUGGCUACAACUAAGUGGUUGGGAGCGGGGAGGUCGCGGCGGCUGCGUGGGGUUCGCCCGUGACACAAUUACAACUUUGUGCUGGUGCUGGCAAAGUUUGUGAUUUUAAGAAAUUCUGCUGUGCUCUCCAGCACUGCGAGCUUCUGCCUUCCCUGUAGUUUCCCAGAUGUGAUCCAGGUAGCCGAGUUCCGCUGCCCGUGCUUCGGUAGCUUAAGUCUUUGCCUCAGCUUUUUUCCUUGCAGCCGCUGAGGAGGCGAUAAAAUUGGCGUCACAGUCUCAAGCAGCGAUUGAAGGCGUCUUUUCAACUACUCGAUUAAGGUUGGGUAUCGUCGUGGGACUUGGAAAUUUGUUGUUUCCAUGAAAUCCUGCGCAGUGUCGCUCACUACCGCCGCUGUUGCCUUCGGUGAUGAGGCAAAGAAAAUGGCGGAAGGAAAAGCGAGCCGCGAGAGUGAAGAGGAGUCUGUUAGCCUGACAGUCGAGGAAAGGGAGGCGCUUGGUGGCAUGGACAGCCGUCUCUUCGGGUUCGUGAGGCUUCAUGAAGAUGGCGCCAGAACGAAGACCCUACUAGGCAAGAUGGAGUUUCACUCUUGUUGCCCUGGCUGGAGUGGAAUAGUGCGGUCUCACCUCACUGCAACCUCUGUGUUCUGGGUUCAAGUGAUUCUCCUGCCUCAGCCUCCCAAGUAGCUGGGAUUACAGGCUGUUCGCUGCUACGAAUCUUUAAUCUUAAAAGCUGAAGGAAAAGUGGAGUCUGACUUCUUUUGCCAAUUAGGUCACUUCAACCUCUUGUUGGAAGAUUAUUCAAAAGCAUUAUCUGCAUAUCAGAGAUAUUACAGUUUACAGGCUGACUACUGGAAGAAUGCUGCGUUUUUAUAUGGCCUUGGUUUGGUCUACUUCUACUACAAUGCAUUUCAUUGGGCAAUUAAAGCAUUUCAAGAUGUCCUUUAUGUUGACCCCAGCUUUUGUCGAGCCAAGGAAAUUCAUUUACGACUUGGGCUCAUGUUCAAAGUGAACACAGACUACAAGUCUAGUUUAAAGCAUUUUCAGUUAGCCUUGAUUGACUGUAAUCCAUGUACUUUGUCCAAUGCUGAAAUUCAAUUUCAUAUUGCCCAUUUGUAUGAAACCCAGAGGAAGUAUCAUUCUGCAAAGGAGGCAUAUGAACAACUUUUGCAGACAGAAAACCUUCCUGCACAAGUAAAAGCAACUGUAUUGCAACAGUUAGGUUGGAUGCAUCAUAAUAUGGAUCUAGUAGGAGACAAAGCCACAAAGGAAAGCUAUGCUAUUCAGUAUCUCCAAAAGUCUUUGGAGGCAGAUCCUAAUUCUGGCCAAUCGUGGUAUUUUCUUGGAAGGUGUUAUUCAAGUAUUGGGAAAGUUCAGGAUGCCUUUAUAUCUUACAGGCAAUCUAUUGAUAAAUCAGAAGCAAGUGCAGAUACAUGGUGUUCAAUAGGUGUGUUGUAUCAGCAGCAAAAUCAGCCUAUGGAUGCUUUACAGGCAUAUAUUUGUGCUGUACAAUUGGACCAUGGGCAUGCCGCAGCCUGGAUGGACCUAGGUACUCUCUAUGAAUCCUGCAAUCAACCUCAAGAUGCCAUUAAAUGCUACCUAAAUGCAGCUAGAAGCAAACGUUGUAGUAAUACCUCUACGCUUGCUGCAAGAAUUAAAUUUCUACAGAAUGGUUCUGAUAACUGGAAUGGUGGCCAGAGUCUUUCACAUCAUCCAGUACAGCAAGUUUAUUCGUUGUGUUUGACACCACAGAAAUUACAGCACUUGGAACAACUGCGAGCAAAUAGAGAUAAUUUAAAUCCAGCACAGAAGCAUCAGCUGGAACAGUUAGAAAGUCAGUUUGUCUUAAUGCAGCAAAUGAGACACAAAGAAGUUGCUCAGGUACGAACUACUGGAAUUCAUAACGGGGCCAUAACUGAUUCAUCACUGCCUACAAACUCUGUCUCUAAUCGACAACCACAUGGUGCUCUGACCAGAGUAUCUAGCGUCUCUCAGCCUGGAGUUCGCCCUGCUUGUGUUGAAAAACUUUUGUCCAGUGGAGCUUUUUCUGCAGGCUGUAUUCCUUGUGGCACAUCAAAAAUUCUAGGAAGUACAGACACUAUCUUGCUAGGCAGUAAUUGUAUAGCAGGAAGUGAAAGUAAUGGAAAUGUGCCUUACCUGCAGCAAAAUACACACACUCUACCUCAUAAUCAUACAGACCUGAACAGCAGCACAGAAGAGCCAUGGAGAAAACAGCUAUCUAACUCCGCUCAGGGGCUUCAUAAAAGUCAGAGUUCAUGUUUGUCAGGACCUAAUGAAGAACAACCUCUGUUUUCCACUGGGUCAGCCCAGUAUCACCAGGCAACUAGCACUGGUAUUAAGAAGGCGAAUGAACAUCUCACUCUGCCUAGUAAUUCAGUACCACAGGGGGAUGCUGACAGUCACCUCUCCUGUCAUACUGCUACCUCAGGUGGACAACAAGGCAUUAUGUUUACCAAAGAGAGCAAGCCUUCAAAAAAUAGAUCCUUGGUGCCUGAAACAAGCAGGCAUACUGGAGACACAUCUAAUGGCUGUGCUGAUGUCAAGGGACUUUCUAAUCAUGUUCAUCAGUUGAUAGCAGAUGCUGUUUCCAGUCCUAACCAUGGAGAUUCACCAAAUUUAUUAAUUGCAGACAAUCCUCAGCUCUCUGCUUUGUUGAUUGGAAAAGCCAAUGGCAAUGUGGGUACUGGAACCUGUGACAAAGUGAAUAAUAUUCACCCAGCUGUUCAUACAAAGACUGAUCAUUCUGUUGCCUCUUCACCCUCUUCAGCCAUUUCCACAGCAACACCUUCUCCUAAAUCCACUGAGCAGAGAAGCAUAAACAGUGUUACCAGCCUUAACAGUCCUCACAGUGGAUUACACACAGUCAAUGGAGAGGGGCUGGGGAAGUCACAGAGCUCUACAAAAGUAGACCUGCCUUUAGCUAGCCACAGAUCUACUUCUCAGAUCUUACCAUCAAUGUCAGUGUCUAUAUGCCCCAGUUCAACAGAAGUUCUGAAAGCAUGCAGGAAUCCAGGUAAAAAUGGCUUGUCUAAUAGCUGCAUUUUGUUAGAUAAAUGUCCACCUCCAAGACCACCAACUUCACCAUACCCACCCUUGCCAAAGGACAAGUUGAAUCCACCCACACCUAGUAUUUACUUGGAAAAUAAACGUGAUGCUUUCUUUCCUCCAUUACAUCAAUUUUGUACAAAUCCAAAAAACCCUGUUACAGUAAUACGUGGCCUUGCUGGAGCUCUUAAAUUAGAUCUUGGACUUUUCUCUACCAAAACUUUGGUAGAAGCUAACAAUGAACAUAUGGUAGAAGUGAGGACACAGUUGCUGCAACCAGCAGAUGAAAACUGGGAUCCCACUGGAACAAAGAAAAUCUGGCGUUGUGAAAGCAAUAGAUCUCAUACUACAAUUGCCAAAUACGCACAAUACCAGGCUUCCUCCUUCCAGGAAUCAUUGAGAGAAGAAAAUGAGAAAAGAACACAACACAAAGAUCAUUCAGAUAACGAAUCCACAUCUUCAGAGAAUUCUGGAAGGAGAAGGAAAGGACCUUUUAAAACCAUAAAAUUUGGGACCAACAUUGACCUCUCUGAUAACAAAAAGUGGAAGUUGCAGUUACAUGAACUGACUAAACUUCCUGCUUUUGCGCGUGUGGUGUCAGCAGGAAAUCUUCUAACCCAUGUUGGGCAUACCAUUCUGGGCAUGAAUACAGUACAACUGUAUAUGAAAGUUCCAGGGAGUCGGACACCAGGUCACCAAGAAAAUAACAACUUCUGCUCUGUUAACAUAAAUAUUGGUCCAGGAGAUUGUGAAUGGUUUGUUGUACCUGAAGAUUAUUGGGGUGUUCUGAAUGACUUCUGUGAAAAAAAUAAUUUGAAUUUUUUAAUGAGUUCUUGGUGGCCCAACCUUGAAGAUCUUUAUGAAGCAAAUGUCCCUGUGUAUAGAUUUAUUCAGCGACCUGGAGAUUUGGUCUGGAUAAAUGCAGGCACUGUGCAUUGGGUUCAAGCUGUUGGCUGGUGCAAUAACAUUGCCUGGAAUGUUGGUCCACUUACAGCCUGCCAGUAUAAAUUGGCAGUGGAACGGUAUGAAUGGAACAAAUUGAAAAGUGUGAAGUCACCAGUACCCAUGGUGCAUCUUUCCUGGAAUAUGGCACGAAAUAUCAAAGUCUCAGAUCCAAAGCUUUUUGAAAUGAUUAAGUAUUGUCUUUUGAAAAUUCUGAAGCAAUAUCAGACAUUGAGAGAAGCUCUUGUUGCAGCAGGAAAAGAGGUUAUAUGGCAUGGGCGGACAAAUGAUGAACCAGCUCAUUACUGUAGCAUUUGUGAGGUGGAGGUUUUUAAUCUGCUUUUUGUCACUAAUGAAAGCAAUACUCAAAAAACCUACAUAGUACAUUGCCAUGAUUGUGCACGAAAAACAAGCAAAAGUUUGGAAAAUUUUGUGGUGCUCGAACAGUACAAAAUGGAGGACCUAAUCCAAGUUUAUGAUCAAUUUACACUAGCUCUUUCAUUAUCAUCCUCAUCUUGAUAUAGUUCCAUGAAUAUUAAAUGAGAUUAUUUCUGCUCUUCAGGAAAUUUCUGCACCACUGGUUUUGUAGCUGUUUCAUAAAACUGUUGACUAAAAGCUAUGUCUAUGCAACCUUCCAAGAAUAGUAUGUCAAGCAACUGGACACAGUGCUGCCUCUGCUUCAGGACUUAACAUGCUGAUCCAGCUGUACUUCAGAAAAAUAAUAUUAAUCAUAUGUUUUGUGUACGUAUGACAAACUGUCAAAGUGACACAGAAUACUGAUUUGAAGAUAGCCUUUUUUAUGUUUCUCUAUUUCUGGGCUGAUGAAUUAAUAUUCAUUUGUAUUUUAACCCUGCAGAAUUUUCCUUAGUUAAAAACACUUUCCUAGCUGGUCAUUUCUUCAUAAGAUAGCAAAUUUAAAUCUCUCCUCGAUCAGCUUUUAAAAAAUGUGUACUAUUAUCUGAGGAAGUUUUUUACUGCUUUAUGUUUUUGUGUGUUUUGAGGCCAUGAUGAUUACAUUUGUGGUUCCAAAAUAAUUUUUUUAAAUAUUAAUAGCCCAUAUACAAAGAUAAUGGAUUGCACAUAGACAAAGAAAUAAACUUCAGAUUUGUGAUUUUUGUUUCUAAACUUGAUACAGAUUUACACUAUUUAUAAAUACGUAUUUAUUGCCUGAAAAUAUUUGUGAAUGGAAUGUUGUUUUUUUCCAGACGUAACUGCCAUUAAAUACUAAGGAGUUCUGUAGUUUUAAACACUACUCCUAUUACAUUUUAUAUGUGUAGAUAAAACUGCUUAGUAUUAUACAGAAAUUUUUAUUAAAAUUGUUAAAUGUUUAAAGGGUUUCCCAAUGUUUGAGUUUAAAAAAGACUUUCUGAAAAAAUCCACUUUUUGUUCAUUUUCAAACCUAAUGAUUAUAUGUAUUUUAUAUGUGUGUGUAUGUGUACACACAUGUAUAAUAUAUACAGAAACCUCGAUAUAUAAUUGUAUAGAUUUUAAAAGUUUUAUUUUUUACAUCUAUGGUAGUUUUUGAGGUGCCUAUUAUAAAGUAUUACGGAAGUUUGCUGUUUUUAAAGUAAAUGUCUUUUAGUGUGAUUUAUUAAGUUGUAGUCACCAUAGUGAUAGCCCAUAAAUAAUUGCUGGAAAAUUGUAUUUUAUAACAGUAGAAAACAUAUAGUCAGUGAAGUAAAUAUUUUAAAGGAAACAUUAUAUAGAUUUGAUAAAUGUUGUUUAUAAUUAAGAGUUUCUUAUGGAAAAGAGAUUCAGAAUGAUAACCUCUUUUAGAGAACAAAUAAGUGACUUAUUUUUUUAAAGCUAGAUGACUUUGAAAUGCUAUACUGUCCUGCUUGUACAACAUGGUUUGGGGUGAAGGGGAGGAAAGUAUUAAAAAAUCUAUAUCGCUAGUAAAUUGUAAUAAGUUCUAUUAAAACUUGUAUUUCAUAUGAAAAAUUUGCUAAUUUAAUAUUAACUCAUUUGAUAAUAAUACUUGUCUUUUCUACCUCUC